CGCUCAUCCAGAGGGGCAGAGGGACACGGCCCGAUGAAGCCCCGGCAACCCUCCAGCCGGUCUCGUUCUCGAAGCGAGGCUCCCGGCUAGGGAAGGUGCCAAAUCCGUCUCAUGGCGAGAUGCGCCAUGAGGAAGAUGAGGA
rnacentral:ncRNA from 1 species